AUUGAACGCUGGCGGCAGGCCUAACACAUGCAAGUCGAGCGGAUGAAGGGAGCUUGCUCCUGGAUUCAGCGGCGGACGGGUGAGUAAUGCCUAGGAAUCUGCCUGGCAGUGGGGGAUAACGUCCGGAAACGGGCGCUAAUACCGCAUACGUCCUGAGGGAGAAAGUGGGGGAUCUUCGGACCUCACGCUAUCAGAUGAGCCUAGGUCGGAUUAGCUAGUUGGUGGGGUAAAGGCCUACCAAGGCGACGAUCCGUAACUGGUCUGAGAGGAUGAUCAGUCACACUGGAACUGAGACACGGUCCAGACUCCUACGGGAGGCAGCAGUGGGGAAUAUUGGACAAUGGGCGAAAGCCUGAUCCAGCCAUGCCGCGUGUGUGAAGAAGGUCUUCGGAUUGUAAAGCACUUUAAGUUGGGAGGAAGGGCAGUAAGUUAAUACCUUGCUGUUUUGACGUUACCAACAGAAUAAGCACCGGCUAACUUCGUGC
rnacentral:rRNA from 1 species